AAUUAAUUUUAGAGUGCAUAGCACACAUCAAUUAAACAGACUGCGGGGUUCAUAUUUCCUACACAGUCGUGACUCAUCCUUGGAAGAUCUGACCCAUCAAGGAUAAUGAUUUCAUCUUGAUAUUGGUGACUAAUAUUUCUGUUUGUAUGUCCAGUGUCUGCUACAGAGCCUGACAUAGAGUAAGUAAAUGCUCAAACAUAUGGAUAAAUGAAUCAAUUAAAAACCUCAUAAAACCUUUACCCUAUUAAUCUUCCUCCUAUAGCAGGGGUUGGUAAACUAUAGCCUGUGAGACAAAUCUGGCCAACACCAGUUCUUGCACAGGACACCAGCUAAAAAUGUUUUCCCCCCACAUUUUAAAACAGCUAAAAAAAUUAGAAGAUUUUAUGGAACAUGAAAAUUGUAUGAAAUUCAAAUUUCAGUGUCCCGAAUACAAUUUUAUUGGGACACAGCUAUGUCCACUCUUUUACCUAUUGCCUAUGGCUACUUUCAUGCCACAGAGGCAGAGUUGAAUGAUUUCCUCCAAAACACCAGAGGUUCCUGUCUCAAGCAGAGAAAUCAUAAUACUGCAACCCAUGCUAGUUUGCAAAGGGCAAGUCGCUAUGGCCAAAAAUGAUUGAUUCAGAGGAAGAGGAAGGGAAGGAAGAAGA
rnacentral:lncRNA from 1 species